UAUAUACUCCCUCCGUCCGGAAAUACUUGUCAUCAAAAUGGAUAAAAGGGAUGUAUCUAGAUGAGAUACAUCCCUUAUAUCCAUUUUGAUGACAAGUAUUUUUGGACGGAGGGAGUAUAAU
rfam:Triticum aestivum genome assembly, contig: Triticum_aestivum_CS42_TGACv1_scaffold_677580_T_7AS-0.035615_1AL-0.018230